GAUCCUGGAAGCGCCUACAUUGUUGGAAAUGUCAUGUUUUUGCUCGUAUCAUUCAUCCUGCCUUGGUUUCUUUCUCCUGUUCAUGUCUUUUUAAAGCAGCCACGCCCAUCUGCCCUUCUUCCUGCCCCCUUUGCUCACCUGAUUCCACUCAGCUCAUUACUUCCUCAGUAUUUAAACCAUCAGUCCACUGCGUUCUGCUUGUUUGUUGCUGCCUUUCUUGACCUCUUGCUGCAUAUGUGGACUUCAGCUCGCCUUCUGGUUUUUCUUCUCCAGCCAUCCAGCCUAUGUUGGUAAAUGAAGCUGCAGCUGUUCAGAGGAGUUGUGUUGUGAUGCUGCCCCCUGCUGGCCAAAAGUGUUGUUGGCGGCGUCCGGAUCCCUCGCCGACACCGUCUUCACCACCGUCCCGAUCUCUGCGUCCUCUGGCAGUUCGAUCAAGUAGGCCGGCGAGUCGAACAGCGGGG